CGGACGGGGCGGGCCGGUUCCGCUGGCUGCCGGGUGCGCGGCUGGGCUGGAUCGUCGUGUCGGCCCUGGUGGGUGUGGGCACCCACCUCGUCUGG
rnacentral:tRNA from 1 species